UCCAUGAUCUCAUUGGAAUCUAUUAAUACUCUCUGAUAUAUUCCCAUUUUUCAAUGAGAAAAUUGAAGAUGAUGGGAAUGGAAGUGACUUGCUCAAGGACGUACAGCAAGUCAGUGCAGGAGUCAAGACUGGACCCAGAAUCCUGCACUGAGUCCAGUGCUUUUCCACCAACUCUUGCAGUCUUCCCUGAGCUCCGGCUAUAUGUGAAGCAUCUAUAAUCCAGGAUACAGCUUACUGUUUGGUCCCACAUCACUGCACUCUGACAACAAGUCUCCUGCUUCUGCUGAGGCCAAAGCUGUAUCCCCAGUAAACUCUCAAACUAUGAUUCUUCUCCUAAAAGAAAUGGCAGCCAGUUACCAGAACUGGUGAUCCAAGACAGCCACAUCUCCAACACAUGCCAAGAGUACAAUUAAAUGUUAGAUGACAGGUUUGAGGAGAGAUGAACAUUAUCUCCCCAGCCAAGCAGCAUGCACUGCUGAGAAAUUAACUGCUGUCUGGUACUCACAGCCAGCUGGAUUUAGCCACUCAUCUCAUGUUGGACAUGACCAUCAGGAGCUCAAAGGGGCCACUCUGUCCUUAGUCAGUACAAAGAUCAGGAGGUGGUGAUGUGUGUCAUCAGCAUGGGUCCAGAUGGCAGCACCUGUUUGCAGGCACUGAGAGAAGCAGUAUGAUAAUAGCUCUCAGUGUCGCUUGACAUGACUCUAGGGGUAGAGAAUGCAGGCUUGACUGUCAGUACCAGAGGCUGGUCUCCUCUCACUCUAACACACUGGCAACAGCACAAGCACUGCUGAGAUAACAAAUCAUCAAGCCCAAAGACCCCCUCCUUAGCCCCUAUGUGACACUGAAGCCCUGGCAAGCUUUGUUCUUUUGAGAGGGGAAUCUUGUUACUUCCUUCUGGAGCAUUGGCUCUCUGGGUGGCACUGAAUUUCCCUUUCUGUUGUCACUUGCUCUUCACUCUUUCUUCACUAUGGCAACCCAGGAGAGGGAGCCAGCACUGAAAUCAACUCCUCCCCACAGACAUAUGUGGAACAGCAAAUGUACCCUCUCUAAUAUUAGGGAAGGGGAACAUUUUUAACCCUAUCUCCAUGCUUCAGAGUUGGUCCUUGGUGGAGAGCAAAUACUUUCACUCACAAUUCCAGGCACUUGAUAUAGAUCUUCCUGCAUAGGAUCUACUAAUUUGAUUGGUCUGAGAUCAAUCAUUAGGCUACAUCUCACCAGUGAGCAGAGUCAUCACAGUGAAAAGUGAUAUACAUCUGUGACUAUAUCGUUGGUUCCACCUGCUAUGGAUGAUUAGGUUAGGCCAAAUUUAUUCUGAAUACCUUGGCUUCUCAGAUUCAGAGGGGAGGGAGUAGAUUAAGCUGCAAUUUCCAACCCAUUUUUUUUUUAACCAGAGAACCUUGCAACAGAAGAAUAGAAAAAGGGGAGGCAGGGUUACCAAGCAUAUGCUGUAUUCUUGAAUCAAGCUUUUAUUAAUAAAUGGUACUUUGCUUGCUGUUCUACUCAUAUCUCCUUGUGCUUAUAGCUUUCUCAGUGCGAAGCCUAGAGAAGAAGGGUGACUAGUUGGAUUCAGGCAUGAAAACUCCGCCUUAAACCCACAACACCUAGAAAGAUUAGUGCGGGAUCAGAGUCUGGUCCCAGCCUAUGUCUACACUGGGCAGGGAAGGGGCACUUGUUCAAUUUCUUCACCUUCCACUGAGCUCUGAGGACCUGGGGAACAAAUUCAAUUUCCAUUCAAAUUCCAUACUGAGCUUCUAGUUGUGUGUUGCUCUUUCAUGGGCAUCCAGAUGUGACCUGACUGUAGUGGGAUUGUUAGCCUGGGCUUAGGGGUUUUGCCUUGGGUUAGCAGUGAAAAUUUCCCCUGCUCAAACAGAUUCAUGGAAACUUUAAGCACUUUUGGAAAGCUGAUGACAAUUGCCGUAGGUAAGUUAAGUUUAAAAUAAAAAUCCGUUCUUUGUAAACUUAUUUUAAACGCUUUUUUAAUGACUAUGUAAUAUUUUCUGAGGUGGAGGCAGUGUCGUGGGAAGGAAAGAACACCAGAAUCAGGAGACUUGACUCAGGGAUAAAGAAGAGGCGGUAUAUCUAUACACUGGAAUACUACUCAGCCAUAAAAAGAUGAAAUCUUGCCAUUUGCGACAACAUGGAUGGACCUUGAGACCUGUAACCAGAGGUAGAUCACAGUAUGCUCCAAGGAUACAAAUCUCAGUCUGACCUGGAAGGAGGGCAUUGAAAAAAUACACUGAUGAAAGGAGCCUUAUUAUUCUUGAGACCGGCUACAGUGGCAGUCUUCAGGAGGCCUGGGAUAAAGCCAGAGGGACCUGUGGCCAUUUACCAGGAUAACCAUGCACUGGGCAACUGGAAAUACUCAUACUUUUCAGAGAUUAUUGGACACUGACUCUGAGCUCAUUGUCUAUCAGGGCUGAGGGCUGGUGGUUAGAAUACAACAGUCAUCCACUGGUCAGAGUCAGGGCUUAUGGAGUCAAGAGACUGAACUUUAUCCUGAAUCUGUCUACAAUGGGUCCGAUGGAUCUGCAAAUACAUCAUAUGGUUAUUUCUUAGUUUCUGAAUGCACAUUUGAAAUAGCCGUACUCAGCAACUGGCAGAUCUACCACAUUUGGUAGAAGUGGCCAUUUUGGGGAAGCCCACAUGGCAAGAAACUGUGGGCAGCCUGAGGAAGCUGAGGGCGGCUGCUGGGAACUGAGAGAAGCCUCUAGGAGCUGAGGGCAGCCUGCAGUUCACUACCAGCAGGAAGCUGGGGCCUCUA
ensembl:lncRNA